GGUUCAAUGGUCUAGUGGUUAUGAUUUCUGUCUCACAUUGAGACUCUGCUGAAGCUUGUCUUCGGUGCACAGAAGGUCUCCAGUUCGAUCCUGGAUUGAACCA